UACGUAGGGUGCAAGCGUUGUUCGGAAUCAUUGGGCGUAAAGCGCGUGUAGGCGGCUACUUAAGUCUGAUGUGAAAUCCCGGGGCUCAACCCCGGAAGUGCAUUGGAUACUGGAUAGCUAGAGGGCGAGAGAGGAUGGUGGAAUUCCUGGUGUAGGGGUGAAAUCCGUAGAUAUCAGGAGGAAUACCGGAGGCGAAGGCGGCCAUCUGGCUCGCAUCUGACGCUGAGACGCGAAAGCGUGGGGAGCAAACAGG
rnacentral:rRNA from 1 species